AGUUGGAUCAUUUUUCCGAAAUGAAAACAAACCAAAACCCGAGGGAAUGGUGUGUGUGCCUUUGUUCGCAAAGCGCGCGCGCCGCUCUUCUCACACACAAAACCAACUCGUGCGCCCCCCUCAAAAAAGGGCGCGCGGGUUUGCCGCUCCACAUUUCAACCGAUAUGGAACACGGCUCUCACAACGUGUCGCGAUGGAUGACUUGGCUUCCUAUUUCGUUGAAGAACGCAGCAAAGUGCGAUAACUGGUAUCAAUUGCAGAAUCACUCAAUUACCGAAUCUUUGAACGCAAAAGGCGCCCGGGAGAAACCUUUCACAGGCGAUCCCCGUGCAUGCCGUAUCGCUCAGUGUCGAACAAAAACUAUUCGCCCACACGUUGAAGGAGUUCGCUCUUUUUGCGUGCGGCGUGAAUUGAAAAGAAAUGCAAGAGAGUCCUUCCAUACUAAUCUUUUGGGUGUGCCAUUCAUUUGGUGAUCCAGGGAGGCGCUGGUGCCGUGCGAUCAAAACACGGGGGACGGGUGGAGCUGCGCUCUUCAAACAGCGUGCUCCUCUGCUCUCCGUGUCGUUGCGGUAUUCCAUGACUGUGAAGAAACACAACACAAUCAAUGUGCGGCGUUUUUUUCGCGAUUCAUCUCAACCAACAAUCUUCAUUUCACAUACAGACCUGAGUGCGGCAGGACCACCCGCCGAACUUAAGCAUAUUACUCAGCGGAGGAAAAGAAAACAACCGUGAUUCCCUCAGUGAGCGGCGAGCGAAGAGGGACCGAACUCGUUGCCGAAUCGGGCUUUACAGAGCCUUGAGUUGUGGCAAUAAUGCGGCAUUUUGAUUGGUGCGGGAUUGGCGAAAUUCAACGCGCAAAGCAAACCCAUUGCUGAACACAACCCUUCAUGUGAGUAUUGAGCCAUAGAAGGUGUUAGCCCAUUGAGCCAAAAACCCGAGCAUCUCACUUAUGCCGAGCAAAGAGAGUAGCACUGCUUGGGAGUGCAGUGUCAAGCGGCAGGUAUGUGUCUGCCAAAGUUAAAUACAGAGUAGGAAGACCGAUAUCGAACAAGUAGCGUGAGCGAAAGUUUGAAAAGCACUUUGGAAAGAGAGUGACAUAGAACCUGAAGUCGUGACAAUGACAAUGAAAGUGCCUCCAUUUCAUUGGUCAAAACCACUCCUGAAGCAUUUCUCCGGGGCGACCUUAAAACCGCUUCGGUAAACUCAAGUGCAGACACGGGAGAUUGGUGAAAUGAGCUGGAAUAAAGGUGUGAGCACUGUCUCGUUAGGGUCAAACCUGGCGGGGCAGCGAGCCGCAUCUUUCCAGUGAUGCUCAAUGUUGACAUCGAAAAUGGGGUAUCUUCACCCGUCUUGAAACACGGACCAAGGAGUCAAACAGACGCGCAAGGGAGAAGAUAUUCGUUUGCAGUACUUCUCUCGUACUGAAAGGGAGCGUUCUUAGAACGCGUAUGGUGUGCACACAACACGAAUGCCCAACACCGUCCGGCCCGCGCGCGGGUUGAGAUUGAGUGUGCCUGUUUGGACCCGAAAGGUGGUGAACUAUGCCUGAACAUGGUGAAGCCCGGGGAAACCCAGGUGGAAGCCAGUAGCGGUGCUGACGUGCAAAUCGCUCGUAUGAUUUGGGUAUCGGAGCGAAAGACUCAUCGAACCACCUAGUAGCUGGUUCACAU
rnacentral:misc_RNA from 1 species